rnacentral:misc_RNA from 1 species
GCCAUAUAUAAAAAACGACAAGAUUGUCAUCAAGGACUUCGUGAAGCAGACAAUCGCAACAGUCGGAGAGAACAUAAACGUGAAACGAUUCAUUCGCUAUAAUCUCGGUGAGGGAUUGGAAAAGAAGAGCCAGGACUUCGCAGCCGAGGUGGCCGCCCAAACCGCAGCAAAACCGUCAUCCGCAGCAGCACCAUCCGCAGCAGCACCGAAGGUGCAACCUGCUGAAGUCAAAGUCGAAAAAGCGCAAACUGUCACA